rnacentral:misc_RNA from 1 species
CGCCGUCGGCCUCCAUGAGCCUUACCACCGCUGUGCAUUCGCUUGUACGUUUUUCGCCCGACACGCGUUUCAUUUACGUUAACCUAUAACUUAUUAUAUUGCGUUUAUAUUUUUAGUAAUUUUUUUUAAUAAACGUUCAUUUUAGCCUGACAGCACCUUAAAUUUUAAUUCUUUAUUUUAACUGGUAUCGAUAUACUCGAAACCAAAAGCUAUUAGAUAACAAACUACAUAGGUAUUAAUUUAACAAUGUAGGUAAAUAGUCCAAGAAAUGAUGGCUUAUACUAGUCUAGUUAUAACUUGAGUGUAUAGUCCACUACCAACACUAGAUCAUACAUUGGAAAAAUCUCCGAAAACAUUAAGGUGCAAAUCAUGUUACAGCUUGCUGGUGACAAAAGAAGG